rnacentral:rRNA from 1 species
AUGGCUUACUAUUCAGAUCAUCAUGCUUAUGCGAGCAACACUACAAACAGCACGGAAAGUAUUCAAGAAUCGAUAAGUAAGAUUUCCCAUCGAGUAGAUGAUUUAGCUCGGCAGCGAGAAGUAGUUUUUGAGGAUAGGCCUAGCUCUUAUGAUCCUUAUAGGCCUAGCUCUUAUGAUCCUUAUUCUAGAUGCCAUCCUUAUGUUGCUUCUACAUGCCAUAUUUGUGGAUUUCAGGGCCAUUCACCCGAUGAAUGUCAGCGUGGUUACUCUCACCCUCCCGAUUGUUAUGGCAUGAGCUUCGCCCCACAGCCUAGCUCAUACCAAAACAAUUACUCAUAUGGGUGGCCUGAAAACCAGAAUAUGUCAUAUAGGAACAACAACCCUGAGAUCUCACCGUUUGCUUCUAGUAAUCAUAUGCAGGGAUUUAGGUAUGAAGAGGAGAACAACAACUAUGCACCACAGCAAUUGUAUUCACCUCCUACUCAUAUACCACAACACCAGGAGAUGUUGCCAAUGGAGUUAAAUGGUCCUCCAUUUGGUCAACCAACACCUUCAACACAAGUGCCCAUACAAGAUGAUUUUGAUGAUAUAGACAAGCUCACAUUGCUUAGUCUCGAGUUCACUUGGAGUGCCGAAGAUGAUCCAAUUAGGCCGGUGAUACUAGAGGAAAUGAAGAAGAUCAAGAGUGGAAAAGAGCUAGUGGAAGAAGUAAGGAAGAUUGAGAAGAACAUCAACGCUGGCAGCACUAUUUCACAGCUUGAGUUGAGUGUGGCUGAGAUAUCCAUGGAUACAUGUGAGGUUCCAACACCUUCACAUUUAGUUGAGCAAGACACCGAGAGCCCAGAGGAAGAAAGACCUCAGAUUGAAGAAGAAAUUCUCGAAGCCAAGGAACAAGAUGAACCAGAGCUUGAAUGCCCAAGUGAUCAAGAUGAAGAUCCGCUACCUAUCACUCAUGAAGAAGUAAAAGAAGCUGAUGUAGUUGAAGACGAAGAACCUGAGAUUCAUUUUCCUAUUAUCAUACAAGAGCGUGAUGUGCCAGGUUUACCUAAUCCUCUUGAUGUCAUGCGUCUGUAUAGUUUAUUUGCUACUACCUUGCAUUACAUGAUUCCAUCACUUAAGAUUGAUUUGAAAACUCGUAUGCUUGGAUAUGAUGAUACAUACAUUGUUGGUGGCAUUGCUCUCAUUUAUGACGAUGACACUUAUUCUCCUCAUGCUAGACUUAUGCUUAAUGGUAAAUAUCAUCCUCAUGUUAGCAUUGAGCUUGCUGAUUCUUAUCAUACUCGUCAUAUUCUAUAUUCCUAUGCUUAUAUAAUUGGAUAUUCGAUUGACGACUUAGAGGGCAUCUACCCUAUCACUUGUAGUCGUUGUUUGUGUGAGUCCUAUUUCAGGUUUUUGCUUGUGCACGAUCCACUACAUGCUGACCAGGUUCGAGGUGACAUUCCUUGGGAUCCUGGUGGAGUCAGAGCAUGGCGAUGA